CAUUCUGUCACAUUCUGACGAAUCCAGUCACAAUCAGUCACAUUGAGACACAUCUCGUUGCUCUCAAAGUUGUGGUGUUAGAAAUUUCUUAUAUUCAAUUAUAUUAUUAGAAUUAUAUUAUUAUUAUAAUUUCAGCGCCUGCAAUGGAUAGGACUAGGACGACUAGGAGGCUUCGAAGGAGGACCUGUUCUUACACAAAGACCCUCGGGCAGCACAGGACAAGGGUCUCUGAAGGUGAACACCCAGACACCUUUCAGGAAGAUGUCCCUGUGAGACGAUUGAGGAGUAAAACCAGAGAAGACGGAGCAGGACCGUCCUCUUCAGUGGACGUCCACAGAGGAAAACUCAUCUCAUCUGCGGAGGAUGUGAGCAAGGGGAAGAAGAGGAGGCCUGACCUGGACCUAACAGAGACCAAGGACAAGACCAAACUCUGCACUGCACAAAAGUUGCCCGCACAUGUGCAAAAAGCACGCAGCAGCACGUCAGAACUAAGUUCAGCGCCUGCAAUAUAUAGGACUAGGACGACUAGGAGGCUUCAAAGGAGGGCCAGUCCUUACUCCCUCGGACAGCACAGGACAAGGGUCUCUGAAGGUGAACACCCAGACACCUCUCAAAAGGAUCUCCGUGUGAGACUAUUGGAGUGGAAAGCCAGAGAAGACGGAGCAGGACCGUCCUCUUCAGUGGACGUUCACAGAGAAAACCUCAUCUCAUCUGCGGAGGAUGUGAGCAAGGGGAGGAAGAGGAGGCCUGACCUGGACUUAACAGAGAUGAAGGACGAGAGCGAACUCUGCACUGCAAACAUUUUGCCCGCACAUGUGCAAAAAGCUGCAUUUGAGGCCAAAUAUAAACAGCAAAAAAAGCUCGGCGUAGGAGGGUGUGCAUCUGUGUUUGCUGGCUAUCGCAAAGCAGAUCAUUUGCCUGUUGCCAUCAAACGCGUCCCAAGCGACAAGCAGUGCAUCAAACACGUGGAGAAGAAUGGGAAAACGCUCCCCAUGGAGGUCGCCAUCAUGUUGAAACUCGUGGCCAAAACAAGUGGCUCAGCGGCUUCAUCGGCACCUGUGUCCCUACUGGACUGGUAUGAUCUGGAACAGGAGCUGAUCCUGGUGCUGGAGAGACCAGACCCCUGCGUGGACUUGGCCAUGUACAUGUUUUCAAAGGGAGGCUUACAAGAGAAAGAGGCCAAGAUCAUCCUGAAACAGCUGGUUGAUGCAUUAAUUGAGCUUCAGGAUAAGCACAUCUUUCACCGGGACAUCAAGGUGGAAAAUAUCUUGAUCGAGACCGGCUUGGACUUCCCGCGAGUUCGCAUCAUUGACUUUGGACUGAGCUGCUUCGUGAAGAAAGGAGCCAGUUACCAACACUUCUAUGGUACCCCUAGUCACGCCCCCCCGGAGAUGUACAACUGUCAACGCUACAGGGCCGGCCCCACCACAGUGUGGCAGAUGGGAGUGGUCCUGUUUGAAGCGCUCCACAAGAACACAUCUUUUGAGACCCUCAAGUACUUCAAAAACGGUCUGACAUUCAGCAAGAUGCUGUCCAAAGAUUGCAAGGAUUUCUUGCAAAUGUGUUUGACUGAAGACCCCAAACAGCGCCAGACCCUGGAGCAGCUCAAGCAUCACCCAUGGCUCGGAUUAACCAACAAUGACCACACUAGUCCCCGCCAUACAAUACUCAAGUCAUCCAAGUUCUAAUGCUGCUCUCUCUGUGACAGGAAGAACUUGAGGAAUGGGGACGGCCAGCCUGUGAUAGGCUGGCGAGGUCACCGGCCUGUGAUAGGCUGGCAAGGUCACCGGCCUGUGAUAGGCUGGCGAGGUCACCGGCCUGUGAUAGGCUUGUACCCCGCCUUUGUCUAAUGUCAGCUGGGAUCGGCUCCAGCCCCCCCGCGACCCUGUCAUAGGAUAAGCGGUAACAGAUAAUGGAUGGAUAAUAUUCAUUGUUUGCCCUUUUUUUUGCAGAUCCUGUAACACCCCCAGCCGUUCGAGGAGAGGGGAUCUCUCUAUGAAUUGCCUUUCCCGAGGUUUCUUCCCAUUUUCC